rnacentral:lncRNA from 1 species
AUGCUGGUUCUGAGGAACGCAUGUAACUUGCCCCCAGCCACCUAAGGUAUCAGGAAGAGGACACCAUCUCUAACACUGGUAAACUGUGACCUCACUCUUCCAUGUGGGAACCUUGCCAUUCCAGCCAGCUGUUGUCAUAGAGUCCGAUGGCCAGGGACCCACCUCUGAUUCAGUGUGGUGGGGAUUUUCUUGGGUGGUGAAUGCUCAGAAUAGAUGAUCUCAUUCGAAAUUUCAUUGUCUUCUUUCUUAGUGGGAAGUCGUGAGUUUAAAAAGAGCCCUGUGUUUCUUCUGUCUUUCCUAUGUAUGCCUCUAGAACUAACACAUUCUGAGUAUGUAGGUAAAAAAAAAAAAAAAAUCUAUAUUUUAGAACCAGGUAACAAAAGAUAGGAUUGUAGCAUCUAAAAACUUGCAAAAGACGUAAGUUUAUUCGGAGAAUAGUAAAGAAGUUUUGAAAGUAGGAGUUAAUCAGCGCCAUCAAUGUUCUCAUUUUAAUAAUUUAUCAAAUAACAAGUUUCUUUUUUUUUUUUAAUUGUCAGGUUUUCUGCUUCUCUUUUUACAGGAAAGAACCCACACGAAAUACCUAUCAAGUUAAAAAUUAGACACUAAUCAACUUACUGACUACUUUACAAAACAGGACAGGUUCAGAAGUAUGUGAAAUGCCAUUUUAAUUAUCUGAGAAAUAGAUUGGAUUUUUUUCUCACUCUCUCUUCCCAGAACUGGGUGAGUCUGUUUACACAGCUUUGGCCUACGCUGAAGAAGCAGAUCAUUAGCAGGGAGCUUGUGCCAGCCCUCAGAGGGGAUGAGAGGCAGGAAGCUGUGCCCGCUCCCUCUCAGGCCGUUUUGUCUCCUCUGAUGAAGAGCCUGUCCUGAGCCUCUGAGCUCAGCCUCCUAUGGGCCAGGAGAGAAUUAUGAAUGUAUUCUAAAUGAAAAUGAUAAAGCUGUAGAGGCAGGCUCUGGGAUAGGUGAUAGAUUGAAAUCCAUAAAAACAGCAGGGCCAAUUUGAAAUCCCAUAAUUAUUUGUGGAAUGACAAAGUGUCCAUUUAAGAAGAUUUGAAAAGGCCUUUGCCAGAAGUGUGUGCCCUUAGAGCAUUGUUGGUGGGGGAUUGCUGGCCCACCUCUUCAUGCAGAUUAGUGGGAGAGGAAGACAUUGCCGAGGAGCUACUAACCUGAGUGCCUGAGAAAAACUUUUAGAAGUAGGGAUUGGAAAUCUCCAGAGGUUUAGUGAGCAGUUGAUCUCUUCCCUAACACCUUGGAAUUCCUUCCCGCCUCUUGCCUUACUACCCGGGUGCUUCCUCGGAGGGUCGUACAGAAUUGUCUACCUGUAGCUCCCUCCCUCAUGAAGAAAUUUGCCUAUUCUCACUUGCAGUCAGGGAAGACAGGUUUAAAAAACAAAAGCCCACUCGUCAAUCAUUCCACAGCAUAAGGACAAAGGUGCCUGAUGGGUUCCUCUUCUCUGUUCCCACCACCUGUGGCUGUGCCUUCAAAACGGUUGUCAGACUUAGUGACCUUCAGUCCUGUGUAGUCACACUAACUCUACAUAACCUUGAACCCCGCUUGCUUUAGACAUGCCCUUCACACUCACCAGUCUGGACACAGAGCUGCCAGAUUCUCCCUAACUGUUCUUGCCAGCGUGUCUCAUUGAUUGCUGAGUGGGAAGCUGGGACAUCUCCCUUUGGGUCUGCGUCACCCGUAAGGUUUCAAGUCCUCGGGACAGGGCCUUGUCUCCAUAGGCCCAGCUUCAGAAACUCCGACGUCUCCUUCCUUAGCCUUGCUGACGGAUUCUUGGUCAAAGUGUUGGUUGGUGUUUGUCCAUGUCUUGGUCUGACAGUUUACCCACCCAGCCCUCUUCCUUUCAUGAGCAGACCCAAGAACCUCUUCGGAAAAGGAAAUUAACCACCCCAACUUGGUUCCCCACCCCCACCCCCUGUGAGGCAAUCAGACAUGGUCAGACCACAUGUGCCAAACCCUGCGAGCAGACCUGAGCUGUCACCAGCCUUUUCUAUCCCUUGGGCGACCAGGGCAGCCUUCUACCACCUCUCUGAGGUAGUCCAGUGAGAAUUCUUUUAAACCUAACCAACUCUAUUCUUUAAAAGGUUGUCAGGGCAUCACCUCUCAAGACCCAAUCUAUUGCUUAUGCUUCCAGCCUGACUGACGGGUCAGCUUUCUGCAAGCCUUGCCAGGGUAGGAGGGCAGGGACGGGACAGUUCAGCAAGAACCCUAGCUUUCACUUGUGGAGGGUGGUGUGUCUGUCUCUGAAUGUGUGAACCUUACUCUCUCCUUCAGUGGCAGGCAGCUUGCUCUCUGUCGCUGGAAGCUGUUCACAGCCUGCUGGUAACCCAUCUCCUCGCAGCCUGCCCCACUUGAAGCUAGCUUUCUAACAACUUUUUAUCCUUGGCUCCAACUCUCUCAGAGAGGUGAAUGCUUUUUCUGUGCCACACCACCGCAGCCCCAAGGCCCAGCAUGCUGUCACUUAUAACCUGCCCACCCGAUCUCGUGAGAGCUGACGGUAAGCCCCACAUUUAGCUAGAUGACUGGUGGGUAAACUCUGAAGCGACUCUCAACUCAGCCACUCACGAAUGCAUGGAAUGUUUUGAUCUUGACACGAAACUGCCAGAAUUUUCUCUUUUCUAACUUCUAUUUGUAGUGGUAACAUUUUUCUGUGAUUUUUUUUUUUUUAAAAAGAGAAUAGUGUAGUAUCUUGAAACAAUGCAAUUCCAGUGUGUCACUAUUUCUAUUUAACAACUUUCAUUCUUUCCUAAUCAUUGUAUCCAGUUGUGCACUAGUGUCAAUAAAAUUGACAUUUGUGAAGCG